GCAAUGGUUGUUCAAUACAGAAUUCUAGCCUUCCAUGCAGGAGACCAGGGUUUGAUCCCCGGCCAGUGCA
rnacentral:tRNA from 1 species